UACGUAGGGUGCAAGCGUUGUCCGGAAUUAUUGGGCGUAAAGAGCUCGUAGGCGGUCUGUCGCGUCGGCUGUGAAAACCCGAGGUUCAACCUCGGGCCUGCAGUCGAUACGGGCAAACUAGAGUACUGCAGGGGGAGACUGGAAUUCCUGGUGUAGCGGUGAAAUGCGCAGAUAUCAGGAGGAACACCGGUGGCGAAGGCGGGUCUCUGGGCAGUAACUGACGCUGAGGAGCGAAAGCGUGGGGAGCGAACAGG
rnacentral:rRNA from 1 species